UAGAGAAGAGUUCAAGAGUACGUGAAACCGUUUAGGGGUAAACCUGAGAAACCCGAAAGUUCGAAGGGAGAAAUUCAUUCGAGUAUCGCUGACGGCGUCAGAUGGUUACGCGACGUGAACGUUUCGGCGUUUCGCGCGCGUUUCCUUUGACGAGCUGUCGGCGAACUCGUGCACUUUUCUUCUGGUAGGACGUCGCGAUCCGUCGGGUGUCGAUCUACGAUCCGCGGUGGAGCCCGUUUGCGGCGUUUCGGCGCUCGUAGACGGACCCGCGAAAUCCGGUCGGCUCGCUCGACGGUAUACAAACGGUUGGAGGCCGCUUUUUUAGCGUCCGACCGAUGGCAAGCACGCCGGACCGUCGGUGAUCGGACUCCGUGCCGAUUCCGACAUCCGGUGACUGUUGGCUGUCGUGUUCUCGGACAGACCUCUAAAUAAAACCGAUCUGCGACGCUAUAGCUUUGGGUAAUUUCAGGACCCGUCUUGAAACACGGACCAAGGAGUCUAGCAUGUACGCGAGUCAUUGGGAAUCGAUAAACCUAAAGGCGAAAUGAAAGUGAAGAUCUUCCUUGCGGAGAUCGAGGGAAGAUGGGCGGUACCGCCUUAAAACGGUCCGCCUUGCAUUCCCGGGGCGUCUCGUUCUCAUUGCGAGAUGAGGCGCACCAAGAGCGUACACGCUGGGACCCGAAAGAUGGUGAACUAUGCCUGGUCAGGAUGAAGUCAGGGGAAACCCUGAUGGAGGUCCGUAGCGAUUCUGACGUGCAAAUCGAUCGUCGGAACUGGGUAUAGNNNNNNNNNNNNNNNNNNNNNNNNNNNNNNNNNNNNNNNNGGGCGAAAGACUAAUCGAACCAUCUAGUAGCUGGUUCCCUCCGAAGUUUCCCUCAGGAUAGCUGGCGCUCGUUGCGUACGAGUCUCAUCCGGUAAAGCGAAUGAUUAGAGGCAUUGGGGUCGAAACGACCUCAACCUAUUCUCAAACUUUAAAUGGGUGAGAUCUCCGGCUUGCUCGAAUUCGUGAAGCCGUGAGAUUUUCGGAUCAGAGUGCCAAGUGGGCCAUUUUUGGUAAGCAGAACUGGCGC
rnacentral:rRNA from 1 species